rnacentral:rRNA from 1 species
CAGGAUGAACGCUAGCGGCAGGCUUAACACAUGCAAGUCGAGGGGCAUCGGGAGUAGCAAUACUUGCCGGCGACCGGCGCAAGGGUGCGUAACGCGUGAGCAACAUGCCCGUAUCAGGGGGAUAAUCCAUGGAAACGUGGUCUAAUACCCCAUAGUAAUUAUGUAAGGCAUCUUAUAUAAUUUAAAGCUUUGGUGGAUACGGAUUGGCUCGCGUGACAUUAGCUAGAUGGUAAGGUAACGGCUUACCAUGGCUACGAUGUCUAGGGGUUCUGAGAGGAAGGUCCCCCACACUGGAACUGAGACACGGUCCAGACUCCUACGGGAGGCAGCAGUGAGGAAUAUUGGACAAUGGAUGGAAAUCUGAUCCAGCCAUGCCGCGUGCAAGGAAGACGGCCCUAUGGGUUGUAAACUGCUUUUGUAUGGGAGCAAUAAGGGCUACGCGUAGUCCGAUGAGAGUACCAUACGAAUAAGCACCGGCUAACUCCGUGCCAGCAGCCGC